GGGUGGAAAUGGCAGCAUCCAGGCCGGGUGUGGUGAACUGGCAGCCAUGGUGGUGGAUGGAGAUCAGGGUUGUGAAGGUCGUGGAAGGAGGAUAGCCAUCCAGUAUGAAGCUUAGAGCUAGUGGAAAGGUAGUUUUUUUUUAAAUGCUAAGAGAAAGAUCAUGGCCCUACCCAUUUUAUCCAGAUCGUGAUUUGCGAUUACUUCAUGGAUCAAAUAUUAGUGGGUAGAAGCAUAGGAUGGAG
rnacentral:lncRNA from 1 species